CAUUGCAUGCAGCUGCAGGGUCCAGUCCCUCCCAGAUGCCAAUGAUCACCAUGCAUGGGCAACUUCCAUGAUUCCGUCUCCUUGUAUGAAGACAUUGUUUCUUUUUUCCUUACAUGAUUUUUUAUUGAUAUUCUGAAUUAUCUGAUUUUAUGAUAUAUAAUAGUAUAACGAUUGAAUUAUAACUUUUAAAGAGAUAAAAGUUUUUCCUUAAACAUCAAAUGGGAACUUCUAUAGAAUUUUUUUGCCCGAAAAUUGUGCAUAUGAUAAUCUAUUGUCGAUAA
rnacentral:lncRNA from 1 species